rnacentral:rRNA from 1 species
AUUAAAGUUGUUGCAGUUAAAAAGCUCGUAGUUGGAUCUUGGGAUGCGAUGAACUCUAUCCACCUAGUGGUGAGAAGGGGUUGAUCCAUCCUUCCCUUCUGGAUAUCCCCUGCUGUUCUUAAUUGAAUGGUAGGAAAAGGCCAUCUGUUUGUUCGGGCGGCCCGGAUUCCAGAUCUUUUACUUUGAGGAAAUUAGAGUGUUCAAAGCAGGCUUACGCCUUGAAUCUCGCAGCAUGGGAUAAUGGAAUAGGACUCAGGUUCUGUUUCAUUGGUUUUUAGGACCAGAGUAAUGAUAAAUAGGGACAGUUGGGGCCAUUAGUAUUAAGUUGUCAGAGGUGAAAUUCUAGGAUUUACUUAAGACUAACUUCUGCGAAAGCAUUUGGCAAGGAUGUUUUCAUUAAUCAAGAACGAAAGUUAGGGGAUCGAAGACGAUCAGAUACCGUCGUAGUCUUAACCAUAAACUAUGCCGACCAGGGAUCGUCCGAUGCUUCAUACAUGGCUCGGGCGGCACCUUGCGAGAAAUCAAAAGUCUUUGGGUUCCGGGGGGAGUAUGGUCGCAAGGCUGAAACUUAAAGGAAUUGACGGAGGGGCACCACCAGGAGUGGAGCUUGCGGCUUAAUUUGACCCAACACGGGGAAACUUACCAGGUCCAGACAUAAGGAGGAUUGACAGAUUGAUGGCUCUUUCUUGAUUUUAUGGGUGGUGGUGCAUGGCCGUUCUUAGUUGGUGGAGUGAUUCGUCUGCUUAAUUGCGAUAACGAACGAGACCUUAACUUACUAACUAGUCACGCGAAUGGCCGAUGCGUGAAGUGUGAGACUACGGUUGAGCAUGGAUCGUGGCAUGAUUCGUGGCCGACUUCUUAGAGGGACUAUUCAGCGUCUAGCGAAUGGAAGUUUGAGGCAAUAACAGGUCUGUGAUGCCCUUAGAUGUUCUGGGCCGCACGCGUGCUACACUGAAAGUAUCAACAAGUCUUUUACUUACCCGAUAGGGCUGGUUAAUCUUCGAAAUGCUUUCGUGCUGGGGAUAGAUGAUUGUAAUUAUUCAUCUUCAACGAGGAAUUCCUAGUAAGUGCAGGUCAUCAACUUGCGUUGAUUACGUCCCUGCCCCUUGUACACACCGCCCGUCGCUCCUACCGAUUGGGUGAUUCGGUGAGAUCUCGGGAUCGUGCUACUUUCCACAGCAAUGUGGGGGUAGCGUGAGAACCUGCUCAAACCUCAUCAUCU